GUGUCCGCUUCAGCAGCACAUAUACUAAAAUUGGAAUGAUACAGAGAAGAUUAGCAUGGCCCCUGUGCAAGGAUGACAUGCAAAUUCAUGAAGCAUUCAAUAAUUUU